UACGUAGGGUGCGAGCGUUAAUCGGAAUUACUGGGCGUAAAGCGCACGUAGUCGGCUUUGCAAGUCGGGUGUGAAAUCCCCGGGCUCAACCUGGGAACUGCAUCCGAGACUGCAUUGCUAGAGUAUGGGAGAGGGAAGCGGAAUUUCUGGUGUAGCAGUGAAAUGCGUAGAUAUCAGAAGGAACAUCAGUGGCGAAGGCGGCUUCCUGGACCAAUACUGACGAUCAGGUGCGAAAGCGUGGGGAGCAGACAGG
rnacentral:rRNA from 1 species